rnacentral:rRNA from 1 species
CCUACGGGAGGCAGCAGUGGGGAAUAUUGGACAAUGGGCGAAAGCCUGAUCCAGCAAUGCCGCGUGAGUGAUGAAGGCCUUAGGGUUGUAAAGCUCUUUUACCAGGGAUGAUAAUGACAGUACCUGGAGAAUAAGCUCCGGCUAACUCCGUGCCAGCAGCCGCGGUAAUACGGAGGGAGCUAGCGUUGUUCGGAAUUACUGGGCGUAAAGCGCACGUAGGCGGCUACUCAAGUCAGAGGUGAAAGCCCAGGGCUCAACCCUGGAACUGCCUUUGAAACUAGGUAGCUAGAAUCUUGGAGAGGUCAGUGGAAUUCCGAGUGUAGAGGUGAAAUUCGUAGAUAUUCGGAAGAACACCAGUGGCGAAGGCGACUGACUGGACAAGUAUUGACGCUGAGGUGCGAAAGCGUGGGGAGCAAACAGGAUUAGAUACCCCUGUAGUC